AACGAACGCUGGCGGCAGGCUUAACACAUGCAAGUCGAGCGCCCCGCAAGGGGAGCGGCAGACGGGUGAGUAACGCGUGGGAAUCUACCCAUCUCUACGGAAUAACGCAUGGAAACGGGUGCUAAUACCGUAUACGUCCUUCGGGAGAAAGAUUUAUCGGAGAUGGAUGAGCCCGCGUUGGAUUAGCUAGUUGGUGGGGUAAAGGCCUACCAAGGCGACGAUCCAUAGCUGGUCUGAGAGGAUGAUCAGCCACACUGGGACUGAGACACGGCCCAGAAUCCUACGGGAGGCAGCAGUGGGGAAUAUUGGACAAUGGGCGCAAGCCUGAUCCAGCCAUGCCGCGUGAGUGAUGAAGGCCCUAGGGUUGUAAAGCUCUUUCACCGGUGAAGAUAAUGACGGUAACCGGAGAAGAAGCCCCGGCUAACUUCGUGCCAGCCGCCGCGGUAACAC
rnacentral:rRNA from 1 species